GUGGUAAUGCCGGAUGUUCCACAUGAUCGCAUGUGAUUGUGGGAAAGAUUCUAUCGGCGUGGGAUGGGGUCGCGUCCUAUCAGCUUGUUGGUGAGGUAACGGCUCACCAAGGCUUCGACGGGUAGCCGGCCUGAGAGGGCGACCGGCCACAUUGGGACUGAGAUACGGCCCAGACUCCUACGGGAGGCAGCAGUGGGGAAUAUUGCACAAUGGGCGCAAGCCUGAUGCAGCGACGCCGCGUGAGGGAUGGAGGCCUUCGGGUUGUAAACCUCUUUUGUUUGGGAGCAAGCCUUCGGGUGAGUGUACCUUUCGAAUAAGCGCCGGCUAACUACGUGCCAGCAGCCGCGGUAAUACGUAGGGCGCAAGCGUUAUCCGGAUUUAUUGGGCGUAAAGGGCUCGUAGGCGGCUCGUCGCGUCCGGUGUGAAAGUCCAUCGCUUAACGGUGGAUCUGCGCCGGGUACGGGCGGGCUGGAGUGCGGUAGGGGAGACUGGAAUUCCCGGUGUAACGGUGGAAUGUGUAGAUAUCGGGAAAGAACACC
rnacentral:rRNA from 1 species